rnacentral:snoRNA from 1 species
CUUCAGUGAAGAGAUGGUGACAAAUCUGACUUGCAAGUUUUAUCUUUGCCCAUGAGGCCCUACUCUGCGCUGUGUUCUAACACGAUUUCGCCAGUUUUUGACAGA